rnacentral:rRNA from 1 species
GAUGAACGCUAGCGGCAGGCUUAACACAUGCAAGUCGAGGGGUAACAGGGGAGCUUGCUCCCGCUGACGACCGGCGGACGGGUGCGUAACGCGUAUGCAACCUACCCAUAACAGGGGGAUAGCCCAGAGAAAUUUGGAUUAAUACCUCAUAAUACUAUUUAGUUGCAUGAUUGAAUAGUUAAAGAUUUAUCGGUUAUGGAUGGGCAUGCGUGCCAUUAGUUAGUUGGUAAGGUAACGGCUUACCAAGGCAACGAUGGCUACGGGGUCUGAAAGGAUGGUCCCGCACACUGGUACUGAGACACGGACCAGACUCCUACGGGAGGCAGCAGUGAGGAAUAUUGGUCAAUGGGUGAGAGCCUGAACCAGCCAUGCCGCGUGCAGGAAGACUGCCCUAUGGUUGUAACUGCUUUAUAUAGAAUAAAAAGCUUACUGUAGUUAUUGAAUGUACUAUAUGAAUAAGCAUCGGCUAACUCCGUGCCAGCCGCCGCGGUAA